AGUGAAUUUGCGCGGAAAAUUACCGGGGCUAAGCUAUACACCGAAAUUGCGGGUUCAUAAGUAAUUAUGAGCGGUAGAGGAGCAUUCUGUAGUAGGGUGAAGUAUGAUCGAAAGGACAUAUGGACGAGGCAGAAGAGAGAAUGCUGGAAUAAGUAGCGAGAGCAAAGUGAGAAUCUUUGCCGUCGAAAGUCUAAGGUUUCCUGGGGAAGGUUCGUCCGCCCAGGGUAAGUCGGGACCUAAGGUGAGGCCAAGGAGGCGUAGCCGAUGGAUAGCAGGUAUAAAAUUCCUGCACUACCGAAAUACUUAAAAACGAUAAGGGACGCAGGAGAGGAAGGAAAUCCGGGAAGAGGAAAAACCGGAGCCGAAAGGCAUAGUGAAAAUUUAAAGUAACGAAGUUCCAAGAAUCACACUGACGAGAAAAGCUUAUUGACAUUGUAUUAAGGUACCCGUACCGCAAACCGACACAGGUAGAUGAGGAGAGGAUCCUAAGACGAGCGAGAGAAGUACUGUUAAGGAACUCGGCAAACUAACCCCGUAACUUAGGGAGAAGGGGUACCUAUGUAAAAGUAGGUCGCAGAGAAGAGUCCCAAGCAACUGUUUAACAAAAACACAGGUUUCUGCUAAAUCGAAAGAUGAAGUAUAGGAGCUGACGCCUGCCCAGUGCUGGAAGGUUAAGGGAAGAGGUUAGAUUAUAUCAAAGCUUCGAACUGAAGCCCCAGUGAACGGCGGCCGUAACUAUAACGGUCCUAAGGUAGCGAAAUUCCUUGUCAGGUAAGUUCUGACCCGCACGAAAGGCGUAAUGAUUUGGGCACUGUCUCAACAGCCCGCCCGGCGAAAUUGUAGUACCGGUGAAGAUGCCGGUUACCCGCGACAAGACGGAAAGACCCCAUGGAGCUUUACUGUAGCUUGAUAUUGGGUUUCGGUAAUUUAUGUACAGGAUAGGUGGGAGACUAUGAAGCAAGAGCGUCAGCUUUUGUGGAGUCACCCUUGGGAUACCACCCUUAAAUUAUUGGAAUUCUAACCUGUGAUCAUGAACUGGUCAGGGGACAAUGUCAGGCGGGCAGUUUGACUGGGGCGGUCGCCUCCUAAAGAGUAACGGAGGCGCCCAAAGGUUUCCUCAACCCGGACAGAAAUCGGGUGAAAGAGUGCAAAGGCAGAAGGAAGCUUAACUGAAAGACAGACAUGUCGAGCAGAUACGAAAGUAGGGCUUAGUGAUCCGGUGGUAUGUGAGUGGAAAUGCCAUCGCUCAACGGACAAAAGUUACCCUGGGGAUAACAGGCUUAUCU
rnacentral:rRNA from 1 species